rnacentral:rRNA from 1 species
GGGCUUGACAUCCCACGAAUCCCUUCGAAAGAAGGGAGUGCCCGCAAGGGAGCGCGGAGACAGGUGGUGCAUGGCUGUCGUCAGCUCGUGUCGUGAGAUGUUGGGUUAAGUCCCGCAACGAGCGCAACCCUCACCUCUUGUUGCCACCAGGUCAUGCUGGGCACUCUAGAGGAACUGCCCCGGUCAACGGGGAGGAAGGCGGGGAUGACGUCAAGUCAUCAUGCCCCUUACGUCCUGGGCUACACACGUGCUACAAUGGCCGGCACAAAGGGAUGCCACACCGCGAGGUAGAGCUAAACCCAAAAAGCCGGUCUAAGUUCAGAUUGGAGUCUGCAACUCGACUCCAUGAAGGAGGAAUCGCUAGUAAUCGCGUAUCAGCACGACGCGGUGAAUACGUUCCCGGGCCUUGUACACACCGCCCGUCACACCACGAAAGCCCGUUGUACUCGAAGUCGCUGAG